rnacentral:sRNA from 1 species
UUAACAUAAUAGAUUCAUACAGACAUAAUUCUGGUUAUCAAUCCUAAAGUGUCAAUAUUUACUAUAAUCACAUGCUAAAAAUCCCAAAAGACACAGACAUAUGUUCGAAAAAGCUAAUCACGUCUCUAGAAACCGUGCAGGGAUCCUUUCCGGUGCUUCAUCAAAGAUCUCUGCUGCAAUCUUCACCCGUAGGGCCUGGAUAUUUGCAUCAGUAAUGCCAUUAAAAGAAACACCAAGCAAUAAACAUUCAAGAAUCUUUAACGCGUAAACGCCGCAGUCCCCUCUGAGUAUUUUGCAGGACCUUUUUCUUGUCCCUCUGCCGGAAUGAAAAUUGGUCGUAAUGCGGGAUACGGACUUCAGAAGAAAUCAGUUCGUUCAUCAUCUAUGGGAUCAUCCUCGUGAACGGCCUACAAGCUUCCAGCAUUUUUUAAUCGCUUUCUUCUGUAUGCUCUCCGACGAUGCAAUCAUAGCAAUCGAAGUGAGACGUAAGCAAGUUCACGUGAAGGGUCAUCCAAUGAUUACCUCCGGUUUGGUGGAUAAUAUACAAGUGAUCCACAUCUGUUAUCCACUUCAUCUGUGUCGGGACUUCUCCUCCCGUUGAUAAGUGUGUAUUUUGCAUGUUUUGAGCAUCCAUUUGUCAUCACUUUAGCAUCAUAUCAUCACUGUUUUAUACCAUUUCUCAUCAUUUGUCAUCACUUUGCAUGUUUAAGAUAGUUUUGCAUGCAUGUUGCAUAUUUGUGUUGUUUUCAUGUGAUCCAGAGCUGUUGACGAGCUAAUUGGAAGAAGCGGACCUGAUCAUGCAAAACCACUCGACCCCCAGGUCGAGUAGACGAUUCACAACCUCAGCAGACCACUCGACCCCCUGGUCGAGUAGAAGACACCACCACUUCACCUCACCACUCGACCCCGAGGUCGAGUGUCUACAUCCCCACCACCUGACCCCGAGGUCGAGUGUCGACUACAUACUCGAUGGCAAGCUUCAGAGCCUUCUUCAUUCCGCACUCAACCAGACACUCGAGCACAAGGAAGAAAAGAAGACCCCAACUAUUCACUCGACCUCCCACUCGACCACCUGGGUCGAGUACAGUUCUUAAUCCGUCCCAAUACUGCGUCGUUUUAAGUAUUAGAGUUUCGGAAUAUUUGGCUAUAAGUAGCAUGUACUUCACAUUUUCGCAAACAAGUUUUUAUCUAGCUUUAUUCCGCAGACACUGUGUUCUAGAUCUUUGUAAUCCGGAUUUCUCUUUAUCUAUUCAGUAUUCAGUAUUCAGUAUUUGUUCUUGAUUUCGUUUACUGUUAUUCAUCCUGUUAUCAUCCUGCUGUUACACUGUUGUUAUCAUGUUUUCAUCCUGUUCAACGUUUAUGCUUUCUGCUAUGAUGUCUGAGUAGCGAAUAGGUUUCUGAGGAUGGGUUAGAGUAGUGUAGAAUUGUCACUAUGCUAGGUGGUUGAGUAUUGAUUGAUAGAUCCCUUCUGGAUUAGUUGUUUUUAAUGCCUAUUGCUUUCUGAUCAAUUGGAAUUUGAGCCCAGAUAUUUCCGCGCCCAAAAGGUGUUCGAUGAAAUGUCUGAACCACUAAUUCUAGAGAUUCGUGGCCCUGUACCAAGGAAUCGGUUGCAGAGAGCGUUUUGGCUUUAACUUGUUGAUUCGUAAUGCCUGUUAGGUUAGCUCUCGUCAAUGGUGAUUGAGUCUGGGACUAGGUUAACUUGAGGGUCUCUGUUGCGGUGGCACUUAGAUUUGGUUAAUGAACUUGUUGUCUAGAGAUAAUUUAUUAAGCAUGUCAAUCACCUAUAAACUAAGGAAACAAAACUACUCAAUUACCCCAUCCUCGGGAAUUCUUUAUCUGAUUGAAUUCUUUGUUUAGUCUACUGUUGUUUACUGCAUCUUAUCAUCUGAUGCUUAAUUUCUGCAAUUCUUUCUUGUUACUCGACCUCAUACUCAACCACCCAGUUGUCUGGCAACAAACUGUACAGUCGAGUAUCUAUGUUAUACUUUGUGUUUGUUACUCGACCUGUCACUCGACCUCACUCAGUGCUCUGCAAAGAGCUAUGUUGGUCGCGUGUUUUACUGUUUCUGUUUGAAUUUCUGUUUUCUGCAUGUUCACUUAGGACUGCUAGAACACACCAAAACCUGUUAUUGCUUGGCUUGACUUAGUGACUUUUGAUCACAUCUUGAUUGUUAGCAUCACCCACAUUUGGAUUGACAACCUUUAGUACUACAACGACAUGAUAGUGUUUUAGGAUUUAUUGAUCUUAAAAACCUAUUAUCAAUUUGGCGCCGUUGCCGAUUGGGUGUUUGUUUGUUACUUUUAAGAUUUCAGACUUGCUUAGAUCAAGUUCUUUUUCAAUUUUCAAUUUGGUUGCUAACUGUGUGUUUUUCUUGUUGUCUUCUUGAUCCAGGUACACCUCUGCUGUAUGCGAACUCGAUCAACAGACAAUCAGAACCUCCUUUUCAACGACAACAUUGACCGCAUAGCUCGUGAACUCAUAGAAAGGAGAAACACAGUCAACCUUGUACCCCAGCAACCACUCGAUAUGGCUGACGAACAGAAUCAAUCAAAUGGCCCUGCCAACAUUGGUGCUGGAGAUGCACCACGUGAUCACCGUCAGAGGAAAGGAAUUGCAUCUCCUGCUAUCCAUAACAACAACUUCGAGAUUAAGAGUGGUCUCAUCUCGAUGAUUUAGGGAAACAAAUUCCAUGGUCUGCCAAUGGAGGAUCCACUCGACCACCUUGAUGAAUUCGAUAACCUAACAAAGAUCAAUGGUGUCAGUGAAGACGGAUUCAAGCUCCGUUUGUUUCCAUUCUCCUUGGGCGACAAAACGCACAUCUGGGAGAAGAAUCUGCCCCAUGAUUCAAUCACCACCUGGGAUGAUUGCAAGAAGGCUUUUCUAACAAAGUUCUUCUCCAACGCCAUAACUGCAAGACUCAAAAAUGAGAUUUAUGGUUUCUCACAGAAGACUGGUGAAAGCUUCUGUGAAGCAUGGGAGCGUUUCAAGCCUCUCUGCUCAUGCCCUCAUCAUGGCUUUACUAAAGCCUCUCUGCUCAACACUCUUUACAGAGGAGUCCUACCACGCAUCAGAAUGCUUCUGGAUACCGCCAGCAAUGGAAAUUUCCAGAACAAAGAUGUUGAAGAAGGCUGAGAAUUGGUUGAGAACCUUGCUCAAUCAGAUGGUAAUUACAAACGAGGACUGCGAUAGGACCGUCAGAGGCACAACUGACUCUGUUGAUAAACACAAGAAGGAGAUCAAAGCACUGAAUGACAAGCUAGACAGGAUACUUCUUAGCCAGAAGAAGCAUGUGCACUUCCUUGUUGAUGACGAGCAGUUUCAAGUCCAAGAUGGGGAGGGUAACCAGUUGGUAGAAGUCAGCUACAUCAACAACAACCAGGGUGAGUACAAAGGAUACAACAACUUCAAAACCAACAACCCCAACCUCUCCUACCGCAGCACCAACGAUGCUAAUCCUCAUGAUCAGGUGUAUCCUCCACAUCAACAACAAGGUCAGAACAAACCUUUUGUUCCCUAUAACCAAGGUUUCGUUCCUAAGCAACAAUUCCAGGAGAACUACCAGCCGCCACAAC